rnacentral:rRNA from 1 species
GACGAACGCUGGCGGCGUACUUAAUGCAUGCAAGUCGAGCGGGGUCCAUCCCGUGGCAACACGGGUGAAGACCUAGCGGCGAACGGGUGCGUAACACGUGAGCAACCUGCCCCGAAGUCUGGGAUAACACCGGGAAACCGGUGCUAAUACCGGAUGCCCCCACCGGACCGCAUGAUCUGGUGAGGAAAGAUUUAUCGCUUCGGGAGGGACUCGCGGGCUAUCAGCUUGUUGGUGGGGUAACGGCCUACCAAGGCAUCGACGGCUAGCUGGUCUGAGAGGACGACCAGCCACACUGGGACUGAGACACGGCCCAGACUCCUACGGGAGGCAGCAGCAGGGAAUAUUGCGCAAUGGGCGAAAGCCUGACGCAGUAACGCCGCGUGGGGGAUGAAGGCCCUCGGGUUGUAAACCCCUUUCAGCAGGGACGAAAUUGACGGUACCUGCAGAAGAAGCACCGGCCAACUACGUGCCAGCCGCCGCGGUAAAAC